UACAGAGGUGCCAAGCGUUAGGCGGAAUCACUGGGCUUAAAGCGCGUGUAGGCGGGUCGUUAAGUGUCCGAGUGAAAGUCCCACGGCUCAACCGUGGAACUGCCGGGCAUACGUGGCGAUCGUUGAGGCAUUCAGGGGCGAGCGGAACAAAUGGUGGGAGCGGUGAAAGUGACGGUAGAGUAUACAUUUGGAACGCCAAUGGUGAAAACAGCUCGCUGGGAAUGAUCUGACGCUGGAGACGCGAAAGCCAGGGGAGCGAACGGGG
rnacentral:rRNA from 1 species